rnacentral:sRNA from 1 species
CCUGGACCGUUCUCUGCUCUCUCAGGCU